rnacentral:rRNA from 1 species
UACGAAGGUCCCGAGCGUUGUUCGGAAUUACUGGGCGUAAAGGGCUCGUAGGCGGCCAACUAAGUCCGACGUGAAAUCCCCAGGCUUAACCUGGGAACUGCGUCGGAUACUGGAUGGCUUGAAUUCGGGAGAGGGAUGCAGAAUUCCAGGUGUAGCGGUGAAAUGCGUAGAUAUCUGGAGGAACACCGGUGGCGAAGGCGGCGUCCUGGACCAAUACUGACACUGAAACGCGAAAGCCAGGGGAGCAAACGGG